rnacentral:rRNA from 1 species
GCUUAGCCUUAAACUCUUAAUUACACCACAAACGCCUGGGAACUACAAGCAAAGCUUGAAACCCAAAGGACUUGACGGUGCCCCACAUCCCCCUAGAGGAGCCUGUCCUAUGACCGAUAACCCCCGUUAAACCUCACCCUCUUUAGCACACUCAGUCUGUAUACCUCCGUCGUCAACUUACCACAUGAGUGACUUUUAGUAAGUUUAAUGUCCUUACUCGUCAACACGUCAGGUCAAGGUGCAACUAAUGAGAGGGGAAGAGAUGGGCUACACUCUCUAUUAUAGAAUAUACGGAGAACUAAUAUGAAAGCUAGUUCAAAGGUGGAUUUAGUAGUAAAAGGGGUCAGAGAGCCCCUUUUAACUCGGCAAUGGGGUGUGUACACACCGCCCGUCACCCUCUUCGUAGCACUGGUUAAAGUACAUAACUAAACUCCGCAUCGUAGAAGAGGUAAGUCGUAACAUGGUAAGUAUACCGGAAGGUGUGCUUGGAACC